UGGGGAAUAUUGGACAAUGGGCGAAAGCCUGAUCCAGCCAUGCCGCGUGUGUGAAGAAGGCCUUUUGGUUGUAAAGCACUUUAAGUGGGGAGGAAAAGCUUGUGGUUAAUACCCAUAAGCCCUGACGUUACCCACAGAAUAAGCACCGGCUAACUCUGUGCCAGCAGCCGCGGUAAUACAGAGGGUGCAAGCGUUAAUCGGAAUUACUGGGCGUAAAGCGCGCGUAGGUGGUUAUUUAAGUCAGAUGUGAAAGCCCCGGGCUUAACCUGGGAACUGCAUCUGAUACUGGAUAACUAGAGUAGGUGAGAGGGGAGUAGAAUUCCAGGUGUAGCGGUGAAAUGCGUAGAGAUCUGGAGGAAUACCGAUGGCGAAGGCAGCUCCCUGGCAUCAUACUGACACUGGGGUGCGAAAGCGUGGGUAGCAAACAGGAUUAGAUACCCUGGUAGUCCACGCCGUAAACGAUGUCUACCAGUCGUUGGGUCUUUUAAAGACUUAGUGACGCAGUUAACGCAAUAAGUAGACCGCCUGGGGAGUACGGCCGCAAGGUUA
rnacentral:rRNA from 1 species